rnacentral:snoRNA from 1 species
AAGACUAUACUUUCAGGGGUCAUUUCUAUAGUUUGUCAUAUAUUGAAGGCCAAUAACUGUCUUAAAUCAAGGAGCAAGUCGUAAUUUUAUCAAAUAAAACAAGAAGUCAGA